AAAACGGUCCUUUUCAGGACCACCAUUAUUGUUGAUUUAAGAGAG
rfam:Anopheles funestus strain FTMOZ unplaced genomic scaffold supercont1.838, whole genome shotgun sequence.